rnacentral:misc_RNA from 1 species
GUGAGUCAUCGAAUCUUUGAACGCACAUUGCGCCUCCCUCUUGUGGGGAGGCAUGCCUGUCUGAGUGUCUUUAAAACCUAUGGGCCCCACGUUUGGGCCCGUGAUGGGCUCUCGCCCUCAGGGCGUGGCCUCAAAGGCAUUGGUCUCCACGAGCGGGUGGGUUCCCCAGGAACGUGGCCGUUCGAGACCCAUAGACUCGGUACUUGACCUCAGAUCAGGUAGGGACACCGCCUGAACUUAAGCAUAUCAAUAAGCGGAGGA